rnacentral:rRNA from 1 species
UCCGUAGGUGAACCUGCGGAAGGAUCAUUAAUGUAUUGCUUGGGGGAGCGGUGGCGGCCUGCACCGGUGGAGACGCCGUGCUGCGGUCGCCCCGCGCCCUCUUCCAAUUUCAAACCCCUGUGAACCUUUGGGAAAGGCGGCUGUAGUGGCCUGCCCGCCCCGUUUUAACAACUCUGAUGUCUAUUUGAAUGUGUGUCGGGACUUACCCGAUUUAAAAUGAAACAACUUUCAACAACGGAUCUCUUGGCUCUCGCAUCGAUGAAGAACGCAGCGAAAUGCGAUAAGUAAUGUGAAUUGCAGAAUUCAGUGAAUCAUCGAAUCUUUGAACGCACCUUGCGCCCUUUGGUAUUCCGAGGGGCAUGCCUGUUUGAGUGUCUUGAAAACAUCAAACCCACUGGCUUUGCGGUCGGUGCGGUUUGGACUUGGGGGUUCUUUGCUGCCGCUUGCGGUGGCUCCCCUUAAAUGAAUCGGUCGGGCUUUCGUGUGGCUUGUCCCUUGGCGUUGUAUUACCCUCGUCGCUGGACGGCCCGCGUGUUUGCGCCCCUCCUUGACUUGCCUUUGGAGUGGCGGUCAAUUGCUUUGUGAUCUGACCUCAAAUCAGGGGGUAGGGGACUACCCGGCUGGAACUUAAACAUAUCAAUAAGGCGGGGAGGGGAAGGUCGGACUGGCCAA